rnacentral:misc_RNA from 1 species
AUGAUUUUUUACAUAGUGAACUUCAUUGUUGUGUUGGUUUAUUUCAUCCAUACAGGGGAGGGGGGAGGGGGGGUGAAUGUUUCUACAGCCAUUGUUGUAAGGAAUAAUAGCAAGCAAAUAUUUAUUGCAAAAAAAUGUUUUAACAGAGAAAUCUGAGUAAAUUGUAGAAAGUAGACAGAAAGUUUAGUUUAUGUUUAUUCUCCUUUAACAAAUAUGUAUAUUGUAAUUAUGACUGUAUUUUAAAGAAAAAUUGAUUCUUAUUCAUAUGGCAGAUAAUUGUUUUGCUCUUCUUUCUAAUUAAGAAUGAUAAACAAUUGUAAACACAUUGUUUGUAUAUUUAUUUCAUAAUAAAAUGUUUAAUAAC